GUUUUUGGUUAAAACGGACCGACUAUUAUGCCGCACUCCUAUUACACAGAAGACAACAGAAACUUAGUACAAUAACCAUACGGUGGCCUGGAAUUUUAAGUUGUACCAAGACUGAAUUUUUUUUCUGAAAUAAAACAAAGAGGGAGAGUGAUUAAAAUGCGUCUGGGUAAACUUGAGAUAGCAGCAGUGUUGGGACUGGGCUGGCUGACUGGUCUGUACAUCUACAAACCACUGCUUGAGAGGCACAAGAGAGAGGAACUACAGAAUAUACCAACUGCUGUAGCUGAGGACACAACAAAACAGCAGGAAGACAAGACAAGGACUCAAGACACGAGUAAAGAACAGCAUCAAAAGGAAAGAACUGGACAGUGAUACUGAUAGAUGGGGAGAGAGAAAGAGAAGAAGAAAUGAAGGGGCUCAAAACAAGACCAAAACGAAUUGUCAGCUUUGAGACAAAACUACAAAGUGCUACAGUGCUACAAACGACAACAGAUCAAAAUCAUUUUCUUGUUUUCAUACGCAAGGAAAUUGAGACUGGACAAAGAUACUAGAUGGAAUGAAAGAUA